CUGGGAUUCGGGCUCUUCCCAGCGCCCCGCGGGGAGCCCCGUGGGGAGCCGAGGGCGACUCCUGUCCCGGCCAGCAGGGCCCCGGGUCCCUGGGGGAGCUGUGCGGGGGGAGUCUCCCUGGGACGGGUCACAGGUGCUGGGCGGGGGGUUCCCUGGGAGUCGCUCCCCUAGAAACCGCGUCCCCUGCUGAGACUCCGGGCUGGGGGCUGGAGCGGAAGGUGCUGAGUGUGUAACGCUUGUGCCAGCAGCUCCAGGUGGUGUUUGAGGACGUCGCUCUGUAUUUCACCCGGGAGCAGUGGGAGCUCCUAUCCCAGCCAGAGAAGCAGCUGUACCGGGACCAGAUGCUGAGGAAUUACUGGGCCCUAAUUUCCCUGGGCUAUUCAGGUUCCACACCAGACUUAAUUCAACGGAUCGAGUUAGGGGAGGCAGAGCUAUGGAUCAGGGAGGCUGAGGACUCCAGGGAAGACUCAGGACCUCAGAGACCAUCCUCAGGGCUUGGGAUCCUGGGAGGAAUGAGCACAUGGUCUGGCUGUGGCAGGAGCUUCAGCCAGUCCUCAGUCCUGAAAAUACACCCGCGUACACACAACGGAGAGCAGCUAUAUUGCUGUGUUGACUACGGGAAGGGCUUUGCAUGGAGCUCAAAUGUGAGAACAAACCAGCGCGCGCACACUGGUGAGCGUCUGCACCGCUGUGCUGACUGCACCAGGGACUUUGCAGAGAGGUCACACCUGAGAAUACACCAACGCACACACACGGGAGAGCGGCCGUACCACUGUGCUGACUGCGACAAGGGCUUUGCAGAGAGCUCAAGCCUGAAGAGACAUCAGCGCACACACACCGGCGAGCGGCCGUACCACUGUGCUGACUGCGGAAAGUGCUUUGCACAGAGCUCGAUCCUGAGAAGACACCGGCGCACACACACCGGCGAGCGGCCGUACCACUGUGCUGACUGUGGCAAGGGCUUUGCACAGAGCUCGAUCCUGAGAAGACACCGGCGCACACACACCGGCGAGCGGCCGUACCACUGUGCUGACUGUGGCAAGGGCUUUGCACAGAGUUCAAGCCUGAGAAGACACCGGCGCACACACACCGGCGAGCGGCCAUACAGCUGUGCUGACUGUGGCAAGAGUUUUGCAGAGAGCUCAAACUUGAGAACACACCAACACACACACAGCGGGGAGCCGCUGCACUGCUGUGAUGUUUGUAGCAAGAACUUCAGCAACACCAAUGCACUAGCCAAACACCAGCGCACGCACACCGGGGAGAGGCCUUUCCAAUGCACUGACUGCGGCAAGAGCUUUGCAGAGAGCUCAAGCCUGAGACGACACCAGCGCACGCACACCGGAGAACGGCCAUACAGCUGUGCUGGGUGUGGCAAGCGGUUUGGUAGAUUGGCCAACCUCACCCGGCACCAGGUCACUCACACCAAUGCCCCUCUGCCAUCGCCAGGGCCUGGGGGGCUUCUGGCAGCCAGUGGGCCUGACGUAGCACCAGCAGAUGUAGACCAGCGAGUGGUCCUGUCCCCCUGAUGACCAGCAGAGACUGUGUGGGGCGGGGAAGGGAACUUGGUUGAGCACUGUGGGGAAGAGCAGACCAGUCCGGGUAGUAAUUUAGAGAUUGUCACAGCCUACUCCAUUAGGGAGCUUCCCCCUAGCCCCCCGUGUAGGUGGGAUCCAACUAUGUCUGUCCCACAUACACUCAUGCAUCUAGCUGGGAUGCAGCCAAAACAACCCUCUCCCCCCAUCUAGAUGGGACCCAGCCAGGAACUUCUCCCCACACCUACCUCGGUUCCAGCCAGCAGGUGACUCUUGGGUGACAUCUAGAGGUGGGAUUUGCAGUCCUGUGGGGCUGGGCAGGACUGGACUGCCUGGUCCAUGUAAUUGAAAGACGACUCAGGAACUGCUCAUACCGUCUAUUUUAAAUAGAAAUGUGAUAAAGAAGAACUACAUACCUAAUGUGUAACACAGGUCUGUCUAGCCAGGUGUUUCUUUGCUAUUAAUGAAGCAGAUGGUUCACGUGGCAUGUGGAGAAGCCUGUGUGAAGUGUAAAUCUUUAAGGUGAACCAGUGAAAAUGUUCUAAGCCCUAACUGUCUGUAAGGCAGUCACGGCUCUCUCCCUGUCCGUCAGGAGGCUGUGCAGUCCCAGCUGUGCUUGAGCCUUAGGAACUGGGAUACCUACAGGCAGAUUUCUCGAGGCUUGUGCGAAAAGGGCUGUGAUCGGGACAUGCUGCAGUGCAGAGCGAAGAUAAAGGAGAUAAGGCAGGCGUAGCAUAAAGCGAGGGAGGUGAACUCCCAUUCAGGUGCUUCACCUAAGAUCUGCUGGUUCUAUAAGGAGCAACCCCACCUCCAUUAGCAAGAGCCCCAUGGACACUUCAGAGGGCCUGAGGCAGCAGAAAGAGGACCUAAGCCAGAGGAUGAAGUUAUUGAUGAAGCGGAGUUAGAUGAGGAUGUGCAGCUCCUGGCAGGGUCGCCCAGUAGGGCAGGAAACCGCUCCUCUCCAGAGGUGUCUAGCUAGACUCAGCAGUUGCUCUCACAGGAGCAAGAAGCAGGAGAUGAGAUGCCUGAUGUGGCCUUCAGGGACACCCCAUGCAUGCUGGCCGAGCGUCUCUGCCAGAUAAGAAAGCACCCAAGACACAGCAAAAAAGACAUGUUCCGGGAGGUCCGGCAGUGCUCCAAUGCAGAAAAAAGGGAACACAAGGAGUGCUGGGAAGCCGAAUGGCAGGACAGAAAAGAGAAUCACACCUUUAUUAAGGAUGCAAUUGAGCGACUGAUUAAAGUAAUGGAGGAGCAAAUACAGAUGCUGAAGUCCUUAAUAGUGCUGCAAACUGAGGCCUUGCCUACACUACAGGG